CAUCCCCCACUCCUGCCAGUUAGAAAUGCAGUUAACAGUCUACUGCUUGUGACUGUGUCAGAGUGGAGGGAGAGCUUAUGGGACUGACUCUGUACUCCAGGUGUAAAGUGUCAUGUGGAACUGAAUUAGAGGACCCCUGGGCUCUGCCAGUGGGGAAUUUCUAGCACAUGGAGACCUGCCCCUGUCAGCAGUGAAUGUGUUAAGAAAGAAGUUUCACACUUAGAGCUGCCUUCCUCAAGGCACAGCAUCCUCCUGUGUGGACCAGGUUGUGAAACUGAAUCAGACAGAAGAUGAUGCUCCUGAAAGUCUCAGUGAGAAGUGAGCAGUCGAUGGCUAUAUGCGUUAAUUUGUGUUUUGAAGUUAAGCUGCUGCCUGAAUCUACCUGUCCUGCUACAAUGUAUGAACAGACAAAGUUGUGAGAACUGAGGUCCUGAACCACAUGCUGUUGAAGGAUGCUGAUUCACCCAUUUGGAUACAGACCACCUAAUUCGACCUCAUGGUAUAAACUUCCCCUAGCCAACAUUUCAACCUUCCCGGUUCCGGCUUCUGAGGCUCACUUAUGAAGAAGCCUCUCUACAAAAUAGUCCACUGCUCACAGCUACUCAGCUGCCCAGCCAGCAUGAUCCCUCUGUAUCACAGCUUGCUCCAUAGCUCCAACGUCUCAGUCUGAGAGGUCGAAUUCCUAGGAACCGUCACUCGCGUGGUCAACAAGAAUCAGCCCCCUCCAACCUGGGGCCAACCAAAAAAUGUCGCUGACCGUGCUCGGGGUAUGGUACGACAACAAGUACUUCCUCAGCAGACAGCCUUUUCGUUGCUGUGCUUGCAAUCAUCGCUGCUCAGAUUCACCACCCUGUAAAGAUUAAAAAAUAUUAGAAACCACGUGGGAUCAUGUAAGCAGGACCUCUGGGUUCCUCCCCGGUUCUUCUGUGGAUUUCCAAAAAAGGCUACAGACAAAACAUACCACGGAAAGAGAAUACACAGGAGACCUUGAGCAAAACAUAAACACCAGAAAACAUAUAAUGCAGAUGGAAGAUUGGUAAACAGUGGACUGAAGUGCUGGUUAUUUCCUGUGUUUCCAGUUAGUAUUUAUCAAGAGAGUCCCAUGCAGAGUGUGACAGCUUUGGGUAAGUCACU